rnacentral:rRNA from 1 species
UGGGGAAUUUUGUACAAUGGGGGAAACCCUGAUGCAGCGACGCCGCGUGAUUUAGAAGGCCUUCGGGUUGUAAAAAUCUUUUCUAUGGGAAGAAAAUGACAGUACCAUAGGAAUAAGGACCGGCUAAUUACGUGCCAGCAGCCGCGGUAAUACGUAAGGUCCGAGCGUUGUCCGGAAUCAUUGGGCGUAAAGGGUACGUAGGCGGGUAAGCAAGUUAGAAGUGAAAUCCUAUAGCUCAACUAUAGUAAGCUUUUAAAACUGCUCAUCUUGAGAUAGUGAAGGGAAAGGUGAAUUUCUAGUGUUGCGGGUAAAUGCGGAAGUAAUAGGAAGGAUACCGAUGGGGAAGGCGACUUUCUGGCCAUAACCUGACGCUGGAGGACGAAAGCGUGGGUAGCCAACAAG